rnacentral:misc_RNA from 1 species
GAUGAAGAACGUAGCGAAAUGCGAUAAGUAAUGUGAAUUACAGAAUUCAGUGAAUCAUCGAAUCUUUGAACGCACAUUGCGCCCGCCAGUAUUCUGGCGGGCAUGCCUGUUCGAGCGUCAUUUCGACCAUCAAGCCCCAGGCUUGUGUUGGGGACCUGCGGCUGCCGCAGGCCCUGAAAACCAGUGGCGGGCUCGCUGUCACACCGGGCGUAGUAGAUUUUAUCUCGCUCAGGGCGUGCUGCGGGUUCCGGCCGUUAAAAAGCCUUUUUUACCCAAGGUUGACCUCGGAUCAGGUAGGAAGACCCGCUGAACUUAAGCAUAUCAAUAAGCGGAGGA